AUUCAUGAAAAUAAGACAUUGCACUUUGCCGCAUAUGAGACGCAGUUGUGUUUAGGUCAGCGCACCUAUUAAAUAAUUAACAAAUGUAAAAACAGGAUUAAAAAGGCAAAAAAGAAAGAAAAGAAGGAGCCUACAGCACCCCGGAUUCCCAUGUUGUCUCCAACCAUAGUACUAACGAGGCCCUCAGACGCUUAACUGCAGUGAUCGGACGGGAACUGGUGUUUUCGCCUAGGUAUGGCCGUAGACA